rnacentral:tRNA from 1 species
AUGGGACUCUAUCUUUAUUCUCGUCCGAUUAAUCUCAGUUCGUCAAAAGAUCUAUCAGACUGUGGAGUGACACUUAUUUUAUCAAUGAAUAGUCGAUUCUUUCUUGAACUCGGAAUCGCUUCCUAA